CACCGUUCGGUGUAGAGCUCGUGGAAGCUAGACCAUUUCCCAGGGCCGGAGACUGACCUUCGCGGUGCCACUCCUCACUCGCCGAUGUCUCUCGUAAGCUGAUGUGAUACGCACAUCGGGACUGCGGUUUCGGCGAAAGAGCUGCCUUCCGCAGCCUUAUGUUGCGGGACGUUCCUGACCUUGAUGAUAAAAUUUAAACUCAAAGAAUCAAGGAUGCUAUUUUUACCUAAAUAUGCAUGGAGAGGAUCUGGACGUUCGUUAUCAUAUUUUCCAAAACCACCCAUAAUUGUAUUUUGCGUGUCAAGAACAAAUGCCCUAUUCUCCUGACAAUCGGAUAAUUCACUAACACCAAGUAACUGUAAAGUAG